UACGAAGGGGGCUAGCGUUGUUCGGAAUUACUGGGCGUAAAGCGCACGCAGGCGGCUCGAUAAAUUAGAAGUGAAAGCCCCGGGCUUAACCUGGGAAUUGCUUUUAAGACUGUCGGGCUAGAAUCCAGAAGAGGGUAGUGGAAUUCCGAGUGUAGAGGUGAAAUUCGUAGAUAUUCGGAAGAACACCAGUGGCGAAGGCGACUACCUGGUCUGGCAUUGACGCUGAGGUGCGAAAGCGUGGGGAGCAAACAGG
rnacentral:rRNA from 1 species